rnacentral:rRNA from 1 species
UACGAAGGGGACUAGCGUUGUCCGGAAUCAUUGGGCGUAAAGCGCGCGUAGGCGGCUCGAUCAGUCUGUUGUGAAAGUCAAAGGCUCAACCUUUGAAUGCCGAUGGAUACUGUCGAGCUAGAGUCCGGAAGAGGCGAGUGGAAUUCCUGGUGUAGCGGUGGAAUGCGCAGAUAUCAGGAGGAACACCAACGGCGAAGGCAGCUCGCUGGGACGGUACUGACGCUAAGGCGCGAAAGCGUGGGGAGCGAACGAGG